CCUUCAACGUGUCUCCAUGGAGUUUUGAUUUCCUCCACAUUUCAGCCAUGCAAAACAAGUUUUGUAGAGGUUAGCCAUGAGUCCCUUUCCCUGUCUUGCACCAAUUGGCUAACACCCAUCUCCUUCCUCUUAUAUAAACCAAGCCAAGCAUUUCUCUUCCUCAUCUCUUCAAGCAAUCAGUCAUGCAAGAAAGAAAAAGACCCAGUACUGAGAAAGAGGCCGAAAGAGAGAAGAAGAGAGAAAGGAAGUGAGAAAGAAAGAGAAGGGGCCGAGAGAGAGAGAGAGAGAGAGAGAGAGACCGGGAGACAGAGAUGAGGGAAGGAGACCCAACUGGUGGGCCAACCACCGGACGGGACAGACGGCGACGCCGGGCUGGUAGGCCACGGCUCCACGCCAGCAACGUCACCAGGUAGCAGAUUUCCGGCAUUCUUUUUGGGUUGCUAAACAGGGAGAAAAUUGCAUCUUUUUGGAAGGAGGUACUAGUGCAAUCAAAAAGCACCAGGAUGCAAUAAUCAGGGUCACUUUUUGGUAAUGGUAUAGACCUCGCUAAGAGCAAUAGAGGAUUUUUGGGGGAUGGAUGUAACCUUUGAAUUGUAUAGUAUGUUACCCUUUUGUUAUUAAUAGCUUUGUAAAGAGCUACUUUCAUGUUCAUAUAAAUAAAAUAGAUGAUUAAGAUCUCUUUUUAAAAGAGGUGUCUUGA